rnacentral:tRNA from 2 species
GACUCCAUAGCUCAGCUGGAUAGAGCAGCCGCCUUCUAAGCGGCAGGUCGGAGGUUCGAAUCCUCCUGGAGUCGCCA